rnacentral:rRNA from 1 species
UACAGAGGUCUCAAGCGUUGUUCGGAUUCAUUGGGCGUAAAGGGCGCGUAGGCGGUGGGGUAAGUCUGGUGUGAAAUCUCGGAGCUCAACUCCGAAAUUGCACUGGAUACUGCUCUGCUAGAGGGCUGGAGAGGAGAUCGGAAUUCACGGGUGUAGCAGUGAAAUGCGUAGAUAUCGUGAGGAAGACCAGUGGCGAAGGCGGAUCUCUGGACAGCUCCUGACGCUGAGGCGCGAAGGCUAGGGGAGCAAACGGG